GACGAACGCUGGCGGCGUGCUUAACACAUGCAAGUCGAACGGAAAGGCCCUGCUUUUGUGGGGUGCUCGAGUGGCGAACGGGUGAGUAACACGUGAGUAACCUGCCCUUGACUUUGGGAUAACUUCAGGAAACUGGGGCUAAUACCGGAUAGGAGCUCCUGCUGCAUGGUGGGAGUUGGAAAGUUUCGGCGGUUGGGGAUGGACUCGCGGCUUAUCAGCUUGUUGGUGGGGUAGUGGCUUACCAAGGCUUUGACGGGUAGCCGGCCUGAGAGGGUGACCGGCCACAUUGGGACUGAGAUACGGCCCAGACUCCUACGGGAGGCAGCAGUGGGGAAUAUUGCACAAUGGGCGGAAGCCCGAUGCAGCAACGCCGCGUGCGGGAUGACGGCCUUCGGGUUGUAAACCGCUUUCGCCUGUGACGAAGCGUGAGUGACGGUAAUGGGUAAAGAAGCACCGGCUAACUACGUG
rnacentral:rRNA from 1 species